ACAUCACGUUAUAGUAAUGCGCUUUAAUAGUUGAAAUUUUGCAAUAAUUUGUAAUAUUAAUUUCAAUUUAAUUGCUUUCAGUUUGCAAAUACAAAUUCUUUGAUACAAAGAAACAGCGAGAAUGCACCGUACAACAACAUGGUUGUUAUUAAUUACAACACUAGCAACAAUACCAAGAGCAAUGGCUGAUAAUUGUAAUACGCAACAACGUUCCGAUUCACACAGUUGCUUCACAAAAACUGAACUGAUAAAUCUACUCGUAAAUGACAAUAGUACAAUGGCAUAUUACACACUAAAAAGACUAACCGACGCAGCCAAUAUGCCUUCACUAUUCAACGAACUUAAUUUCGCCUACAUGUGUUUCUUCUACCCCUUGAAGUACUAUACAACAGAUAAUAAACACUGGGACGACAUACGCAAAUGGUGUGUAAAAGUCGUCGAGCAUUACGACUUCUACAAAAUAAUACAUCCCAUACAACGUCUGGUGUGCGAUAUUCGCCCAAAACCGGAACCAAUACCGUGUCCCUGUUUGACACAUAAUAUAUAGAACAUCUACGGUGGCGACAUUAAUUAGUUAUUUUAUUUUUAUUUUUUUAUUACGAGCAUAUAUACAUAUUGUGUUAAUAAAGUAUUCCUUAUAAUAGUUAUUUGUUAUGCAAGGCUGCAAAGUUAUUGUUCAGCGCGUUUGUUUGUAUGGAAACCUGAGCAAGCGUAGGUAAAAAAUAGAUAGAUUAAAAAAUAGAUAGGGCGUUGCGAGGGUUUCAAUGCACGAGACGCAAAACAACUUUGCUACCGAGCGAAACACAACUUUUCACCUCACUAUAGCGAGCAAAACGGUAGAUUUAAGAAAAGCAGUUGAACUAUAAGAAAUCUGUGUCAACAAACAAAAUUAGGUAUCGUAGUCAAUCUAAUGUCAACAAUAAUAAGAAUAAAAUAUACCAACGGAUUUAUAUUACAUAAAUAAUGUACGACAAAUCGCGUACUAUGUUUUUUAUUUCAUCGAAAGAAAUUAUUCGAAUUUCAAAACGCUUUUACUAGCUGAUAUCUAAUGAAAAAUAAGGCCUUUCCGGGUUAGUGAGGUGAAAAGUAAAUAAUGUUAAUAAUAAUAGACUUACAACAUCUAGCCUCACAAUUACUUAAUGAAUUACCGGACGCUGUACAAGAAUUAAACUAUACAAUUCAAAAUCAAGUUGGAUAAUUCGUAUUAAAUGUUUGUCUUAUGUGUUUGCAAAAUAUAAAAUGUAAAAUUUUAAGUAUGUAA